AUUCGCGCCAUUCCCGUGAAUGACAUGUUCCCUGUCCCGAACUGUGCCGUAAUUCGCAAAAAGAAUUGUCCAGGCUUUAACCGUGUGAGAACUGGAAGGCGAUUAAGUUGACCAAUAGAGAGGCUGCUUUUAUAUCCGAACGUUUCUAUGUUCAAAGUUACCUAUGCCAAGAACAAAAAAUCGGGUAAUACUAAAGUUGAAUGAAUUUUUUCCGAAUCCCCCUCCGUCAACAAAGAAAACAGAAGUAUGGUUAUAAAUUUAAUCAUUUUGACAAUUGUUUGUCAUAAACUGUCACGAAGUUCAUCACUGAUCUGAAGAGACGCUUCUGCGCCAAAGAUGACUGAUUAAUGUACACAGAGAGGUCAAGGUUUAGUUUGAGGCAAGUAGCAUGGAACAGAAGUUAUUUCUGCUGCCAUUCUAGUUAAAUUGUGUUUAACUGGGCUGUACAUGUCAUAAGAGAAGCUGUUUCAUUUCAUCGUAGGCAAAUAAUACAUUUAUUACUAUUCUACAUAGAGUAGCUACCGAAAAGCAGGUAUUAGAAGUCAUUUUCUUAGAGCCCCGUGAAUAAUCGUCGGCACCCAGACCAACAAGUGUUUCACCGAUUGUUACAUCGAGCAAGAGAAGAUGGAUCUUUUCAACCUAGUCGGAAAGGCCGUGCUGGGGCUCCACGGAAUGUACGUGUGGGUGCUGAAGAGCAAGUGUUAGAAAACAUGGAAGCGGAUCCUAGGAGAAGUGUCCUCUAUGUAGCGCAAAUGAGUGGAUGCUCAAGAUCGACCACUCAUCGUAUCCUUCAAGAGAGAAUACUGCAUCCUUACCAUUACACGAAAGUGCAGCAUCUGCGACCAACCGACUACCCGCGACGAGUACAUUUUGCUCAAUGAUUUUUGCAACAAAAUGAACUAAAUCCUGAUUUUUCACGGCGCAUUCUUUUCACCGACGAAUGUUCAUUUUCCCGAGAAGGAAUGUUUAAUGCACACAGUUGGCACUUCUGGGCACACGAAAAUCCACAUCUCACUAGGGUGAGAGCGUAUCAGGAGCGAUUUACUAUUAAUCUAUGGGCUGGAAUCAUUGGUACUACUGUGGUGGGGCCGUUUGUGUUACCUGAUCACCUUAAUGGGGAGGCAUAUGCUAAUUUUCUACGACUAGAGCUUCCGGCGUUGUUGGAAGACGUUCCUUUGAAUGUACGGCGGAAUAUGUGGUUUCAGCACAACGGCGCUCCUCCACAUAAUUCGAUACUUGCACGGCGAACAUUGAAAAGAGUCUAUCUAUCUAUGUUAAAUAAUAUACAACACAACAUAAUGCGACGAGCUAGAACUGGCAUUGAAGUUAAUGGUGAUCAUUUUGAGCACAUUGUUUAAUAACGUUACGGUACAACGAUUCCGGCCCAUAGAUUAAUAGUAUUGCUCUUGAUAUGCACUCACGUUAGCCAAAUGUGGAUUUUCGUUUGCCCAGAAGUGCCAAUUGUGCGCAUUAAAUAUUCACAUGCUGGUCAAGGAGCCGAUGAUUGGGGAAAAGACCUGUAUAUUCGCACACAGCAGUGGCUGCAUAGCGUUUACAUUCUCCAUAAAUUAACAUCAUUUCCAAAUAUUCUUUAUACUAGUAUGAAUAAGACAUCAGUGACUUAGUGGUAUUGGUACUGAUUUGUUUAUAGUUUGUAUUGUUCUUAAAAAAAAAUGCAACUACA